rnacentral:rRNA from 1 species
GACGAACGCUGGCGGCGUGCUUAACACAUGCAAGUCGAACGGGAUCCAUGUUGUAGCAAUACUUCGGAAGAUCUAGUGGCGAACGGGUGAGGAACACGUGAGAAACCUGCCCCGAACUUCGGGAUAACAGUUGGAAACGACUGCUAAUACCGAAUACCUCUGCGAAGUGGCAUCACUUUGCAAAGAAAGAAUUUCGGUUCGGGAGGGUCUCGCGGUCUAUCAGCUAGUUGGUGGGGUAACGGCCUACCAAGGCAUCGACGGGUAGCUGGUCUGAGAGGAUGAUCAGCCACACUGGGACUGAGACACGGCCCAGACUCCUACGGGAGGCAGCAGUGGGGAAUCUUGUGCAAUGGGCGAAAGCCUGACACAGCAACGCCACGUGCGGGAAGAAAGCCUUCGGGUCGUAAACCGCUUUCAGCAGGAACGAAAAUGACGGUACCUGCAGAAGAAGGUGCGGCCAACUACGUGCCAGCAGCCGCAGUAA